AGCAACAGCGAGGGCCUCGAACAUGGAGCGUCCGGAGCUCGGUUAUGAGAGCAUGAGCCACUUCAUCGUUGAUACUGACGACCUUGCUGACAUGCUGAGGAACAUCAACUUCUGCUCCAGUGUAGGGGAUGAUGAAGAGGAUCUUGAAGAAAUGGGAGAAGAGUCCGAAUUUGACUUCCGCUCCAGAUGUUAAGACCAAAAGAGAAGUAGCUGAUUGCUCUUGAGUGACUUUUAACUUUCAAAGGUUGAAAAUUUGAGUGAAAAUGAUUCUUUGGAAGGCUACAAGAAGGAGAUACGGCGUGUUUGUUGCAGUGACUCUGGAUCUCCCUGUUGACCUGUAUUGAUGAAUCGAUCAGGGUUUUGCUUGGCCAAGGCUUUGUGGUGUGUUUGAUUUUGGUUUCGUCACACUCCUCACAUUACUUAUUCAGCUUCCAGUGCUCCAGUCAUCAAAUGGUGGAGAGCUGAGAGUUUGCAGAGUUAUAGCAGAUGCCUUUCUUCUUUUCUAAUGUGUUUUCACAAACAGACCGGAUACAGAUUAGACUCCAGAGCCUGUUUGUGAUACUUCGCUUCAGGGACCAUUGUAGAAGGAUUUAAAUUUUUUGAUUUAGUCCUGAAUUAUUGAGCUGUCUACACUUUUUGGUGGGACUGGGCGAUCUGGUAAAAAAAACAAAAACAAAACAGAACACAAAACUAGUUUUCUUUAUUGAAAUCAUGCGUUUCCACAUUAACGAGCACCUUGUGAGGUGCGAACAAAAGGUUCUAAUACUUCACCUAUAACAAGAUAAAGUUUGGCCACUAUCUCCUUUGAAGUAGUCUUCUGCUAAGGUGAUGGUGUUAAUGUUUUAAAUGCUCUCUUAAAGCCCCGUUCUGGCAACUUACAGAUGCACGUGUGUGAUUUCACCAUGGACCUCAGACUUGCUCAGAAAGCAAACAUCAGAUUCUGGUUCAAACUGUGAUAAUCUUCACGUCUAAAGAGCAUCACAGGUGACGGUGGUAGAUGUACAGCUAUCACUUAGAGAGCAAGCAGCUGUCUAUGCAGUGGAAGAGCUUACAGUCUCCAAGACUAAGGAAGGCUCAUUAGGUUGGCAGCAUGACCAAGAGCAUACUUGUUGUUUUGUUUGAUGUUCAGGAGGUUGUGCACCAUGAAUUUGUCCCCAAGGAUCAGAUCGUAUUUCUCCCUGAGGGAGAACAUUAGGUGGAAACAACCUUAAUUGUUCUGCACUUACAGAAAGGUGCUGCUGGGGAGUGUUCCAAAUGUGGCAAGAGCAACAGGAGCAUCUCUGCAUAUUGUGGAUAUUUCAAAGGGGAUAGCAGCCAAAUUUGAAUUAGGUGUGGUUUUUGCUUUGUGUAGGCACUGACUCUGAGCUUCUCGGUUCAAGUCUAACAAAACUAAAACCACCACUAGUAAAGUUAGGAUCCUUUUACAUAUUGUGAAUAUCAUAAAGAAAAACAGCAGGAGCAACUCUGCAACAAAACUGUUUCCAACAUGCCACAAAUAUGUAAAUUAAGCACCGUGUCUGCUGUGAAUACAUACAGGUGAAAGCAGAAAGUGUUUAGCUGUGUUUUGGAAGUGAGAUGGGAAACUGAGGAUUUGGUCUGCUCAACAUCUGAUGAUCCUUUUUCUGUCAUUGUUAUUGGUAAGUGUAACAACACAGACAUAUGAAAUACAUGAGGACAGAGAACUAUUCCUCAGUGCUGGCACAUAGCUCCACAUCACUACUUGUGCAGGUGUCCUUUGAACAGCAGAGGAAGCAACAUUUGACACAUUGUGCAAGAACAAAAAAUCGAGUCAUUUGGACACAUUCCCCAAUCCUGCUCUCAGGUAAAAGUCAAAUCCACAAUUUAAAGAAACUAUUAAUCUUAAAUUCUCCACCUACUGGCCUUUUAGUGGAGAUUUCAAGCCCAUCUCAUUCUUCACCAGCUGUUGAACUUCUUCUCAGAUGUCAUGGGGGUCAUUCACAUCUAACAGUCAACGCCAUCUUUCCACAGAAACUACUUUCAAAAAAAAAUAACAAAAAAAUCUAACUCUUCCUUAGUUUGCUGUAAACAAUUCUCAAUAAAAUGUGGAGUUGUGUAAUUGUAGUAACUUAACAUGUAUUCAUUUAAAUAAAAUUCUAUGGAUAUGAAA